UACGGAGGGUGCGAGCGUUGUCCGGAUUUAUUGGGCGUAAAGAGCGUGUAGGCGGCCAAGUAGGUCCGUUGUGAAAACUCGAGGCUCAACCUCGAGACGCCGGUGGAAACCAUCAGGCUAGAGUCCGGAAGAGGAGAGUGGAAUUCCUGGUGUAGCGGUGAAAUGCGCAGAUAUCAGGAAGAACACCCGUGGCUAAGGCGGCUCUCUAGUACGGUACUGACGCUGAGACGCGAAAGCGUGGGGAGCGAACAGG
rnacentral:rRNA from 1 species